UCCUUUUGCAGGUUGUUGGUGGUGCUGAUCUUGUGGUGACUGCUUCAUCGGACAAGUCGAGGUCCUGCUCAACCAGCUCCACUAUCUGUUGGAAUUACGUUCAUCCUAAGUUUGGUAAGAUUCUUUUCUUAUGAACACAAACAGGGAAGAAAAAAGUUCAUUCCAUAAAAAGUCAAGACUCUCUCUUCACUUGCAAAAAGCAUUCUUGCUUCAGGUUGGUCGUAAUCGCAAGGGUCUAGAAGUUGCUAAAUAAAAAGUUUAUACCUUUGUUGUGCUUGUAGGGAUGGGAUAGUCUGACCCUAUCGCAUUUUUCACUGGAACAACUGCAUAAUGCGAGGCAAGAGCUAAGUCAUGUCAUUGUUUUGUAUCAGGUAAUUAUGGUUGAGUGUCUCAGCCACUACUCUUUACAUGGCUCAGAAGAUUGCAAUCUACACUCUACAAUGAAUUAUUUGUUCAUUUGUUACUGAUAGGCUGAUAGCAAACAAUACCGGUUAUGUUGGCUUAGGCAAUAUAUAUACUUACAUUUCUUUAGUAACGUCUAUCUAGUUGCAUUCUUUUA